rnacentral:rRNA from 1 species
GACGAACGCUGGCGGCGUGCUUAACACAUGCAAGUCGAGCGAUGAAGCUUCUUCGGAAGUGGAUUAGCGGCGGACGGGUGAGUAACACGUGGGUAACCUGCCUCAUAGAGGGGAAUAGCCUUUCGAAAGGAAGAUUAAUACCGCAUAAGAUUGUAGUACCGCAUGGUACAGCAAUUAAAGGAGCAAUCCGCUAUGAGAUGGACCCGCGUCGCAUUAGCUAGUUGGUGAGGUAACGGCUCACCAAGGCGACGAUGCGUAGCCGACCUGAGAGGGUGAUCGGCCACAUUGGGAAUGAGACACGGCCCAGACUCCUACGGGAGGCAGCAGGGGGGAAUAUUGCACAAUGGGGGAAACCCUGAUGCGGCAACGCCGCGUGAGUGAUGACGGUCUUCGGAUUGUAAAGCUCUGUCUUUAGGGACGAUAAUGACGGUACCUAAGGAGGAAGUCACGGCUAACUACGUGCCAGCAGCCGCGGUAACAC